rnacentral:rRNA from 1 species
UGCGCCUUGCCAGCCCGCUCAGAAACUCAAAGGAAUUGACGGGGGCCCGCACAAGCGGUGGAGCAUGUGGUUUAAUUCGAUGAUACGCGAGGAACCUUACCUGGGCUCAAAUGUAUGUUGACGUAUUCUGAAAGGGAUACUUCUUCGGACAAUAUACAAGGUGCUGCAUGGUUGUCGUCAGCUCGUGUCGUGAGAUGUUCGGUUAAGUCCGCUAACGAGCGCAACCCUCGCUGUGUGUUACAAGUGUCACACGGAACUGCCGGUCAUAAACCGGAGGAAGGUGGGGAUGACGUCAAGUCAGCAUGGCCUUUAUAUCCUGGGCUACACACACGCUACAAUGGGAAGGGACAAUAGGUUGCGAAACCGCGAGGUGGAGCCAAUCCAGCAAAACUUCCCUCAGUUCAGAUUGCAGGCUGCAACUCGCCUGCAUGAAGUUGGAGUUGCUAGUAAACGCAGGUCAGCCAUACUGCGUUGAAUACGUUCCCGGGGCUU